AUUGAACGCUGGCGGAAUGCUUUACACAUGCAAGUCGAACGGUAGAGGGGGCAACCCCUCGAGAGUGGCGAACGGGUGAGUAAUAUAUCGGAACGUGCCCAGUCGUGGGGGAUAACGUAGCGAAAGUUACGCUAAUACCGCAUACGGUCUAAGGAUGAAAGCGGGGGACCGUAAGGCCUCGCGCGAUUGGAGCGGCCGAUAUCAGAUUAGGUAGUUGGUGAGGUAAAGGCUCACCAAGCCAACGAUCUGUAGCUGGUCUGAGAGGACGACCAGCCACACUGGAACUGAGACACGGUCCAGACUCCUACGGGAGGCAGCAGUGGGGAAUUUUGGACAAUGGACGCAAGUCUGAUCCAGCCAUUCCGCGUGCAGGAUGAAGGCCCUCGGGUUGUAAACUGCUUUUGUACGGAACGAAAAGGUCUCUCCUAAUACGAGGGGCUCAUGACGGUACCGUAAGAAUAAGCACCGGCUAACUACGUGCCAGCCGCCGCGGUAAGAC
rnacentral:rRNA from 1 species